CCUACGGGUGGCUGCAGUGGGGAAUAUUGCGCAAUGGGCGAAAGCCUGACGCAGCGACGCCGCGUGAGGGAUGAAGGUCUUCGGAUUGUAAACCUCUUUCAGCAGGGAAGAACGGUCACUGUGCUAAUCAGCAGUGAAUUGACGGUACCUGCAAAGGAAGCACCGGCUAACUCCGUGCCAGCAGCCGCGGUAAUACGGAGGGUGCGAGCGUUAAUCGGAAUUACUGGGGGUAAAGCGCUCGUAGGCGGUAUGUUAAGUCAAGGGUGAAAUCCCGGGGCCCAACCUUGGAACUGCCUUUGAAACUGGCAGGCUGGAGUAUGUGAGAGGAAAGUGGAAUUCGGGGUGUAGGGGUGAAAUGCGUAGAUAUCAGGAGGAACACCAGUGGCGAAGGCAGCUUACUGGAACAUAACUGACGCUGAGGAGCGAAAGCGUGGGUAGCAAACAGGAUUAGAUACCCGUGUAGUC
rnacentral:rRNA from 1 species